rnacentral:rRNA from 1 species
GACGAACGCUGGCGGCGUGCUUAACACAUGCAAGUCGAACGGAAAGGCCCUGCUUUUGUGGGGUGCUCGAGUGGCGAACGGGUGAGUAACACGUGAGUAACCUGCCCUUGACUUUGGGAUAACUUCAGGAAACUGGGGCUAAUACCGGAUAGGAGCUCCUGCUGCAUGGUGGGGGUUGGAAAGUUUCGGCGGUUGGGGAUGGACUCGCGGCUUAUCAGCUUGUUGGUGGGGUAGUGGCUUACCAAGGCUUUGACGGGUAGCCGGCCUGAGAGGGUUACCGGCCACAUUGGGACUGAGAUACGGACCAGACUCCUACGGGAGGCAGCAGUGGGGAAUAUUGCACAAUGGGCGGAAGCCUGAUGCAGCAACGCCGCGUGCGGGAUGACGGCCUUCGGGUUGUAAACCGCUUUCGCCUGUGACGAAGCGGGAGUGACGGUAAUGGGUAAAGAAGCACCGGCUAACUACGUG